UGGGGAAUUUUGGACAAUGGGCGAAAGCCUGAUCCAGCAAUGCCGCGUGUGUGAAGAAGGCCUUCGGGUUGUAAAGCACUUUUGUCCGGAAAGAAAUCCUCUGGGUUAAUACCUCGGGGGGAUGACGGUACCGGAAGAAUAAGCACCGGCUAACUACGUGCCAGCAGCCGCGGUAAUACGUAGGGUGCAAGCGUUAAUCGGAAUUACUGGGCGUAAAGCAUGCGCAGGCGGUUUUGUAAGACGGAUGUGAAAUCCCCGGGCUUAACCUGGGAACUGCAUUCGUGACUGCAAGGCUAGAGUAUGGCAGAGGGGGGUAGAAUUCCACGUGUAGCAGUGAAAUGCGUAGAGAUGUGGAGGAAUACCGAUGGCGAAGGCAGCCCCCUGGGCCAAUACUGACGCUCAUGCACGAAAGCGUGGGGAGCAAACAGGAUUAGAUACCCUGGUAGUCCACGCCCUAAACGAUGUCAACUAGUUGUUGGGGAUUCAUUUCCUUAGUAACGUAGCUAACGCGUGAAGUUGACCGCCUGGGGAGUACGGUCGCAAGAUU
rnacentral:rRNA from 1 species